CUGGCGGUACAGGAUGGACCCGCGUCUGAUUAGCUAGUUGGUGAGGUAAUGGCUCACCAAGGCGACGAUCAGUAGCCGACCUGAGAGGGUGAUCGGCCACACUGGAACUGAGACACGGUCCAGACUCCUACGGGAGGCAGCAGUGGGGAAUAUUGCACAAUGGGCGAAAGCCUGAUGCAGCAACGCCGCGUGAGCGAUGAAGGCCUUCGGGUCGUAAAGCUCUGUCCUCAAGGAAGAUAAUGACGGUACUGAGGA
rnacentral:rRNA from 1 species